AAGACUAUACUUUCAGGGAUCAUUUCUAUAGUUUCUGACUUGAGAAAUGUGUUUCUAAAGCGUUUGCGUCUCCGCUAACCAUGAUGAUGAGUUGUGAUAUUCCUUUCAGAGCAUGAAGGUGCAGCGAAGUAAUGAUUCAGUUCAUAUGCUCUUUGUCAUUGAUGAUUGCUCUUUGCUUCUUUAUGAAGCAUUGAGGAAGGGAAUAUGGUCAGAGUGGU